CCGGAUUUGGGGGCGCUACAGUCUCCAUUUCCCCAUUCAAUGGUUUUUCAAAGUAAAUCUUGCAUCUGUUUAUUUUAAGUUGAACGUUGUGUGACGUUUAAAUUGAGUAAGUUGUUUACAACAAUCAUCAGCAAGCAGGAAUUUGAAUAAUAGACUAAUUGACUAUUCUUAACCCUUGAUUUGGACCAAUAUAUAUACAUAUAUAUACAUAGGCGAAACUAGGGGGUCCAGGGGGGUUAUAUGACCUCCCACCCUGGAAUCUCCGGGAGUUAAUUAUUUGUUUUUCUUUUCCUUUUUUUAUGUAUUUUUUUCUCUUUUACUUUUCUUUUGUUUUUUCUUUAUCAUCAAAGUGAGGGAAAAAAUGGUAACAAUUCUCUCUAUAAACUAAUUAAAAAUAAAAAGCUAAAGAAAUAAAAGUGACCAUAAGUUCACUGUAUUUCUAUACUAUCAAGAUUAUUAAAUCUCUCUUUUUCUCUUUUUUUUAUUUUUAUUGUUGGACUUCAUUCUUUCAAGCUAAUUAAUCUCAUGAACCACGAUAUAAGGUUUUGAAUAUAUAAUACUAUAAUUUGUAAUUUAUCUAUAAAAGUAAUUAAUCAGUUGACUAAAAAUUUCAAAGUUUG
rnacentral:lncRNA from 1 species